rfam:Candidatus Nanopusillus sp. Nst1 Nst1_C1, whole genome shotgun sequence.
GCGGCGGUGCCCGAGAGGUCAAAGGGGGUCGGUUUAGGUCCGAUUGGAUAAGAUCCGCCAGGGGUUCAAAUCCCCUCCGCCGCA